rnacentral:rRNA from 1 species
AGUGAACGCUGGCGGUAGGCCUAACACAUGCAAGUCGAACGGCAGCACAGUAAGAGCUUGCUCUUACGGGUGGCGAGUGGCGGACGGGUGAGGAAUACAUCGGAAUCUACUUUUUCGUGGGGGAUAACGUAGGGAAACUUACGCUAAUACCGCAUACGACCUACGGGUGAAAGCAGGGGAUCUUCGGACCUUGCGCGAUUGAAUGAGCCGAUGUCGGAUUAGCUAGUUGGCGGGGUAAAGGCCCACCAAGGCGACGAUCCGUAGCUGGUCUGAGAGGAUGAUCAGCCACACUGGAACUGAGACACGGUCCAGACUCCUACGGGAGGCAGCAGUGGGGAAUAUUGGACAAAGGGCGCAAGCCUGAUCCAGCCAUACCGCGUGGGUGAAGAAGGCCUUCGGGUUGUAAAGCCAUUUUGUUGGGAAAGAAAAGCAGCAGGUUAAUACCCCGCUGUUCUGACGGUACCCAAAGAAUAAGCACCGGCUAACUUCGUG